rnacentral:rRNA from 1 species
AGGUCACUGCUAUCGGUGUUCGAUUAAGCCAUGCGAGUCGUGAGGGGUAAAGCCCUCGGCGGAGUGCUCAGUAACACGUGGACAACCUACCCAAGAGUCAGGGAUAACCCCGGGAAACUGGGGAUAAUACCUGAUAGGCCAUGACAUCUGGAAUCGAGUUGUGGUUUAAACGUAAGGCUCUUGGAUGGGUCUGCGGCGGAUUAGGUUGUUGCCGGUGUAACGUACCAGCAAGCCUGUAAUCCGUACGGGUUGUGGGAGCAAGAGCCCGGAGAUGGAUUCUGAGACACGAAUCCAGGCCCUACGGGGCGCAGCAGGCGCGAAAACUCUACAAUGCAGGCAACUGCGAUAGGGGAACAUCGAGUGGCAUCCACCAUGGAUGUCUGUCCAAUCGUCUAAAAAACGAUUGUCAGCAAGGGCCGGGCAAGACCGGUGCCAGCCGCCGCGGUAAUACCGGCGGCUCGAGUGGUGGCCGAUAUUAUUGAGUCUAAAGGGUCCGUAGCCGGCUUUGCAAGUCCUAUGGGAAAUCCAGCGGCUUAACCGUUGGGCUUUCAUGGGAUACUACAUUGCUUGGGACUGGGAGAGGUAGGAGGUACUCAGGGGGUAGGGGUGAAAUCCUGUAAUCCUUUGGGGACCACCGGUGGCGAAGGCGUCCUACCAGAACAGGUCCGACGGUGAGGGACGAAAGCUAGGGGCACGAACCGGAUUAGAUACCCGGGUAGUCCUAGCCGUAAACGAUGCUCGCUAGGUGUCACGGCUGUCGUGAAUUGUCGUGGUGCCGUAGGGAAGCCGUGAAGCGAGCCACUUGGGAAGUACGACCGCAAGGUGAAACUUAA